UUAUACAGAUUCAUUAAGUUUUUGUAGAGAUCUCCAUUAUGUAAUUUGACCUUUUAUUAAAAGGGAUAGGUUUUGUUUCUUGUAGAUCACUUUUAUGCCUGUUGAUGCAUAUUCAACACAUAGCAUGAAUCAUAUUGGAAGCACUUUGUCAACAUCUAGAGCUUGGAGUUUAGCCAGGUUAUGCUUAAUUUAGUGAUUUAGCAUGCUAAACACCAAAAUGUAUUUGAUAUAUUUUCAGAAAUAGUUUGUAGUUUAUUUAGAAUCUGUCAGCAAAAUUCAUUUUGUAUAUAUUUGUAAAAUAAUGUCAGGCAGUAAUUGGUUAAUUCAUGUUUUGCUCCUCCUGUCCUACUUUAUUUCUACCCCUACCUUUCUUGUGUCAUUUAUUUACUCCCUCUAUAUAUUUAGGGUAGCUGUUGCAUGCCAGAUUGUCUCUUAUCUCUAUUGUUUUCUCUACUGUCAUGUUCAGCCCAUUACUUUAUGUUUGUUUAGCAUCUUCGUUUACACAGGUAGUCUGGCUGUGACUCAAGGCUCUUUUUCAAAAGAGAUUUUAAAGCAAAUUAUCUGCAGGUGUAAUUACCAGAGGAAGGCUCAAGUACCAAUUAAAAUCUAAAUAAAACACUAGAAAUGGGAACAUUUUUUUUCAAUUACACUUUUUCUUUAUUUGUGAAAUAGACGUAAAGUCAAUGAGGAGACUUAAAAUUUAUAAUUCAUUCUUGUAGCUUGUUCAGAUCUGAUUGCCUUCAGCUGGAGCUUCUCGAGUAUUUAAAAAGUCUUUGUAAGUGAAUCUUUACUAGUGAAGACCAAGUGUUUGCAUAGAUCAGAAGAGUUAGUAUUCUUAUUUUUGGGUGGUUGUUGUGACAUUUUAGUAGUUUCUGCAUUAAUUUUGCACAAGUAGAGCAUAUGUGUGGGUAUGUGUGGUGACAAUGAACUUUGCAAAACUGAAAAAAAAAACAACAACAACUUGCUGGCAGAAUAUUACAUUUGAAAAAAGUAUUAACAGCAUUUUUCAUGUAAGAUGUGAUGGUGAUAGGUGUGUUACCAGUUUAGCUUUUUUAUAGUAAAUAUCUGACACUGAACACAUAAAAUAAAAAUAGUAUUCUUGUUGAAUCGCAGAGAUGUCCUGAUAAAUAUUUCCACCUCACAAAAGCUGAACGGUUCAGUCCACUCUCACACUCUCGCUGAGCAGUCUAGAGGAGACUGAGCUGGAGCCUCAGUGACUCACACUAAUUCAAAAAUGACCCACUAGGAAAUUAAUAACACCACUUGAAAGGCACUUGUGAGUAUAAGAGAAUAUGUGCAAAUCGGCUGCUCAAAAGCAAGCCUGCAGAUGUAAACGACGAAUAAAAGGUGAUUUCCUUUAUUUUAGGUUGAAGGAUUGUAACUGCAAAUGUUUACAGAUUGUAGUGGAACUUUUCUUUAAGGUUGAUGCUUCUUCAGUUCUGAUACUGCAGACCUUUCACUACUUUUGGAAAUGAGUAGACCUAAAUAGGUAGUAAAAUAAAUAUAUACUAAAUUCUUUCUCUCCCACACAUUGAUGGUGCUAGAUGAAUAUAUUAUCACUGGCGACUUCUGUUCACCUACACACAUGCUGUUUGUCUCGCAUCACACCGUCUAUAUAUAGACAGAACAUUGUAUACAUAAUGUAUUUGUGAGCUAAAAACUGUCUUUGUGGGGGAAACGAAAAGAAAAUGUUUUAAUUCAACAACUGGCCGAGAUGGAAGAAAAACGCAGGGCAAAUUGUAGUAUAAUUAGCCAUGCUCUGACAAUAGUUAAAUGUAUUCUUUCCAGGUAGUCGGAUAACUGUUUACCUACUUGUGUUUUUUUCCAAUCUCAAGAUGAAUUGAGCAAUGGUGUAAAAGGUCAGGGAUUGAAAAAUGGUCCAGAAAACAAAUGCAUCCAAAUUCCUCAAAGCUUCAACUUGUUUUGUUAAAUUGGGGUUCUCCAUUUUAUUGGGGGGGGGGGUAGUUAGGUUCAGACAUCAGUAAGCUUUGCUUUAGCAUCCAUAGAUAACAUGGAUGCUGCAUGCAAAACACAGAUGAAUGCAAAAUAACAAAGUGUCCAGUCACUAACAGCCCCCCAAAAGCUGCUGUCACACUGUGAUUGUUAUCAAUCUUAGACAAAAUCUUUUGUCGUGGCUCGUGAAAAAAAUCCAAAGAAAAUUGUUGGUGAUGAGCUGUGAUUGGUGGUCUGGGGAUUUUCAGUGAGAGAGGCACACAGACUGCCCUUUAUGUUUUCUCAACUAAGGAAAACCUAUCGUGCACUGUCUGAAAAUUUUCAGUUAUUUUGUUUUUUAUUUUUUGCCAAGUUACACAGUUUUCUCCUCUUCUCUUUUUUUUCAAGAUUAUGACUAAUAUUAAGUGCAACGAGAUGUUUUGCAUUCGGACCAAAAGUGCUGUUAAAUCUUUCUGCUUUGAACCAACAUUUUCCAUCCUACCAUAUGACAGGAGAUUCUAGAUUCCAUCAUAUUGACCCCAGACAGGCUGACAUGUUUAAUUUCCUUUGCACUGUUCCAAUUGCACGGUGUGUGGAAGAACUUAGACUGCUGUCACACCAGAUUCCUGCAAAAAGAUAUUUCUGCAGCACCUUCCAAAGAUCUUUCCUCACAUACCCAGAAGUGGAAAAUUAAUUGCAAAUCUUUCUCCAUCUUACCACUAAGUUGGCAUACCCAAAAUCACUGGUACAUGUUUUGUCUAAGGACUGAGUCACCCAGGUACAUGUGUUUUUGCUGCUGAACUCCCCUGACAGUCUGUGUACCAAAAUCUAAUUACAUGAAAACAAGCAAGGGAAAUUAAAGAAUUUAAUUUAAAUCUAAGGAAUUGACGAACAUCUAUAGCCUGACCCCAUGUAGAAACACAUUUAGAAAUUAAAAUAUGAACUUGUUUUACUUUUGAUCACAACAUACAGGCUCACCAUUCUCUCGGUGUUUCUCCUUUUGCAUGCAUGUAUGCUCACACAUGUAGACAUGUAGAUCUCAUAAAAGCAACUAUCCGUACCCCCUCCAAACUGUGUCAUCUAUUGUCUCCCUACUUUUGAUUUGGAUUCUCUCCAAAAUACUGAUUUGUGAUUGGUUGGUUUAAUGUGUGGCUGGAAGGCAGCACUUUCCAACAGCAGCAAUCCCAGGAAGACAGGCACUAUUAGGUAGCAGGCCUUACAUUCAGUACAAUUUUCUCUCUAAUUUAUCUGAAAUGGGAAGCCCUGCAGCCCAUCCCCCAACUGUAUUCUUCCAAUUUAACAGAUCAGUAUGAACCGGUUUCCUCGUGAGGGUUUUAUUUGAAACGGCAUAGAUGAUACGUGGUGUGCAGCAACAUGGUUCCAAGUAGACUCCAGCUUUUCUCUUCUCUGUUUGAGCAAGAUUUAACACAUUAUUAUAUAACCAACUAAGGCGAUAAAGUACAAUCCUAAUUAAGCACAUGGUACUUUUUGCUUCCAAUUAAAAUUUACCUUGUGAUUUCGCUGUUCGCAGUCUGUCAGAUUUUACAGAAACCAUAGCAUUUUUGUUGAAAUCCAGCCACUUGUCAUGUCUCCAGUGAUCGGAGUCUCUGACACUGGACACUAACCCCAUGUAGAGGUGUGUGAAAUACGGUGCAAAUAUAAAAGAGCACAUUCAAAGCACUCUGUAUGUGCUUUGCUGCAGACUUGGUUCUAUGCAUGCUUGGGCAGGUAACGACAAAAACACUGGCAGACAGCAUUGUGCGGUUUUGUGCCAAUUAACCCAUUCAGUUUUACACAAGUUCUUACAAAGAAUAUGUGUGUUAUAUGAGCACUUGUUUAAUCUGAGAUGGGGCUUCCAAAGAGCACUGGGGAAAAAAAAGUUUUAAAGGGUAUGCAGAUUGUUGGACAUUUCUUCAAAACAUACUGUCUUCAAAAUGAGCUGGAAGCUAGUGAGGUGAAAAAAAGCAUUCGCAUUUCAACAACGUGAUAAAAUCACAGCACCAUAUGGAGCCCUGGCAUGAUGACUACAGCGGAUUCAAGGUCUUGGUGGUCUCAUCUAAUAUAAAUGUCUCAUCUAAACUUUUCCCCAGUCAACAUCUGAAAAUACCAGCAGCUUCCAAACUGAGAUCAGUCUCAUGUAAAUGUACCCCAACUAAAGUUUCAUAAUGAGAAACUUUACUUAGGCUCUCUAAUUUAUCUAAAUUAGAGAACAGAAAUACAGACGUUAAUUUUUCCAGCAGGAUCAUUCAAUUUCACAUGUCAGAAACUUGGUGAAUGAGGUAUGGAGGAGCUUAAAAAUGAAAUACUCAAAAAAACGGACUAGAAGCAUUUUGGGAUUUGGUUCGUAUGUAUAAACCUUCUUGGCUGCAUGA